rnacentral:misc_RNA from 1 species
GAUGAAGAACGCAGCGAAAUGCGAUAAGUAAUGUGAAUUGCAGAAUUCAGUGAAUCAUCGAAUCUUUGAACGCACAUUGCGCCCCCCAGUAUUCUGCCGGGCAUGCCUGUUCGAGCGUCAUUUCAACCAUCAAGCCCCAGCGCUUGUGUUGGGGGCCUGCGGCUGCCGCAGCCCCCUAAAAGCAGUGGCGGGCUCGCUAUCACACCGAGUGCAGUAGUUCAUCUUCUCUCCGGUCUUGUGAGGCGGGUUCCGGCCGUGAAACACCCCACUACAUUCAAGGUUGACCUCGGAUCAGGUAGGAAUACCCGCUGAACUUAAGCAUAUCAAUAAGCGGAGGA